UACGAAGGGGGCUAGCGUUGUUCGGAAUCACUGGGCGUAAAGCGCACGUAGGCGGAUUGUUAAGUCGGGGGUGAAAUCCUGAGGCUCAACCUCAGAACUGCCUUCGAUACUGGCAAUCUCGAGUCCGGAAGAGGUUGGUGGAACAGCUAGUGUAGAGGUGAAAUUCGUAGAUAUUAGCUAGAACACCAGUGGCGAAGGCGGCCAACUGGUCCGGUACUGACGCUGAGGUGCGAAAAGCGUGGGGGAGCAAACAGGGAUUAAGAAACCCCAG
rnacentral:rRNA from 1 species